UACGUAGGUGACCAGCGUUGUCCGGAUUUACUGGGCGUAAAGAGCGCGCAGGCGGUCGUUCAAGUCGAGUGUGAAAGCCCCCGGCUCAACUGGGGAGGGUCACUCGAUACUGAUCGACUUGAAGGCAGGAGAGGGAAGCGGAAUUCCCGGUGUAGUGGUGAAAUGCGUAGAUAUCGGGAGGAACACCAGUGGCGAAGGCGGCUCUCUGGGACGGUACUGACGCUGAGACGCGAAAGCGUGGGGAGCGAACAGG
rnacentral:rRNA from 1 species